rnacentral:ncRNA from 3 species
UGUGACAGAUUGAUAACUGAAAG